rnacentral:tRNA from 1 species
GGGGCUGUAGUUCAACAGGGAGAGCGCAUGCGUAACAAUCAUUCAUGAUCGCCAUUCAUGAGGCAGAAGUUCGAUCCCUCUCAGCUCCACCA